UACGUAGGGCGCAAGCGUUGUCCGGAAUUAUUGGGCGUAAAGAGCUCGUAGGCGGCCAGUUGCGUCUGCUGUGAAAUCCCGGGGCUCAACCCCGGGCGUGCAGUGGAUACGGGCUGGCUAGAGGCAGGCAGGGGAGAACGGAAUUCCUGGUGUAGCGGUGAAAUGCGCAGAUAUCAGGAGGAACACCGGUGGCGAAGGCGGUUCUCUGGGCAUUACCUGACGCUGAGGAGCGAAAGCGUGGGGAUCAAACAGG
rnacentral:rRNA from 1 species